rnacentral:tRNA from 1 species
GAGGAUUUAGCUUAAUUAAAGUGGUUGAUUUGCAUUCAAUUGAUGUAAGGUAUA